ensembl:lncRNA
GAGAUGAUGCCACAUCUGGUCCAGCUGAUGGAAGGUCUUGAAGUUCUCUGACUGGCCUCGACUGAAGAUGGUCGUCUCACUGGAUUUAAGAUGCACAAUGAGGGACGUCUGCAGAGACUGAGAAAGAGUCUCACCACAUCCUGACAUGAGGAAAAAGACUUUAUUGAAGACUACAAUGAGAAAAACUAUCAGACAGCAGACGGCUGCAUUCAAAUCUGUAGCUGCUUAAUUCAUGGAUGAAUCAUCUGGCACUAGAGAGGAAGACCAUCAAACAUCCACGUCACCUGAUGGAGGUCCAAAAGUCUCACCAAACAAACAACCUACAGAGUGAAGACCUCAAAUCUGAUUGGACGGCCUCCUAUUCAGCCAC